rnacentral:rRNA from 1 species
AUUGAACGCUGGCGGCAUGCCUUACACAUGCAAGUCGAACGGUAACAGGUCUUCGGAUGCUGACGAGUGGCGAACGGGUGAGUAAUACAUCGGAACGUGCCUAGUAGUGGGGGAUAACUACUCGAAAGAGUGGCUAAUACCGCAUGAGAUCUACGGAUGAAAGCAGGGGAUCGCAAGACCUUGUGCUACUAGAGCGGCCGAUGGCAGAUUAGGUAGUUGGUGGGAUAAAAGCUUACCAAGCCGACGAUCUGUAGCUGGUCUGAGAGGACGAUCAGCAACACUGGGACGGAGAAACGGCCCAGACUCCGACGGGAGGCAGCAGUGGGGAAUUUUGGACAAUGGGCGAAAGCCUGAUCCAGCAAUGCCGCGUGCAGGAUGAAGGCCUUCGGGUUGUAAACUGCUUUUGUACGGAACGAAAAGCCCCGGGUUAAUACCCUGGGGUCAUGACGGUACCGUAAGAAUAAGCACCGGCUAACUACGUGCCAGCCGCCGCAGUAA